rnacentral:rRNA from 1 species
UACGUAGGGUGCGAGCGUUAAUCGGAAUUACUGGGCGUAAAGCGUGCGCAGGCGGUGAUGUAAGACAGGUGUGAAAUCCCCGGGCUUAACCUGGGAACUGCAUUUGUGACUGCAUCGCUGGAGUGCGGCAGAGGGGGAUGGAAUUCCGCGUGUAGCAGUGAAAUGCGUAGAUAUGCGGAGGUACACCGAUGGCGAAGGCAAUCCCCUGGGCCUGCACUGACGCUCAUGCACGAAAGCGUGGGGAGCAAACAGG